rnacentral:lncRNA from 1 species
GGAUUUUUGUUAGAAAAAUAUAUUAUUGUAGUUCGGAUUGGGUUUUUGUUAGAAAAUAUAUAUUUUAAAUUGACGAUUGAAUUAGUUCAUUGUAUUCAUAAAGGGUCAAGGAGUGUAGCUAUCAAAAAUCAUCAAAAUCGGAGUUAAAAUAACCGUUAAAUCAUGAUUUUUUAUUUACAACCGUCGAAAAGUUUGUCCUGUUACUUGAUCUCUGAAUUUUUAUUUUUUCUGUUUUUUGGCGUAUAUGAUCUCGAAAUAUAAACAAACAAGUUUGACGGUUGGAUCGUUAAAAC